rnacentral:rRNA from 1 species
GAUGAACGCUGGCGGCGUGCCUAAUACAUGCAAGUCGAGCGAACAGACAAGGAGCUUGCUCCUCUGACGUUAGCGGCGGACGGGUGAGUCAUACGUGGAUAACCUAUCUAUAAGACUGGGAUAACUUCGGGAAACCGGAGUUAAUACCGGAUAAUAUAUUGAACCGCAUGGUUCAAUAGUGAAAGAUGGUUUUGCUGUCACUUAUAGAUGGAUCCGCGCCGCAUUAGCUAGUUGGUAAGGUAACGGCUUAACAAGGCAACGAUGCGUAGCCGACCUGAGAGGGUGAUCGGCCACACGGGAACUGAGACACGGUCCAGACUCCUACGGGAGGCAGCAGUAGGGAAUCUUCCGCAAUGGGCGAAAGCCUGACGGAGCAACGCCGCGUGAGUGAUGAAGGUCUUCGGAUCGUAAAACUCUGUUAUUAGGGAAGAACAAAUGUGUAAGUAACUAUGCACGUCCUGACGGUACCUAAUCAGAAAGCCACGGCUAACUACGUG